rnacentral:misc_RNA from 1 species
GUGAGUCAUCGAAUCUUUGAACGCACCUUGCGCCUUUUGGUAUUCCGAAAGGCAUGCCUGUUUGAGUGUCAUGAAAUCUCAACCCCACCUGGUUUAUGAUCAGUUGGGGCUUGGACAUGGGCGUCUGCCGGUUACACGGCUCGCCUCAAAUGACUUAGUGGGAUCGCUAGCAUCCGUGACAGACGUAAUAAGUUUCGUCUUGUCCCUUGCGUGCGUCAAGCCUGCUCAGAACACCGCUUGCCUCUGUGCAACACUUUUUUGACUCUGACCUCAAAUCAGGUAGGACUACCCGCUGAACUU